UACGUAGGGUGCGAGCGUUAAUCGGAAUUACUGGGCGUAAAGCGUGCGCAGGCGGUUUUGUAAGUCAGAUGUGAAAUCCCCGGGCUCAACCUGGGAACUGCGUUUGAAACUACAAGGCUAGAGUGUAGCAGAGGGGGGUAGAAUUCCACGUGUAGCAGUGAAAUGCGUAGAGAUGUGGAGGAAUACCAAUGGCGGAGGCAGCCCCCUGGGUUAACACUGACGCUCAUGCACGAAAGCGUGGGGAGCAAACAGG
rnacentral:rRNA from 1 species